rnacentral:rRNA from 1 species
GUUUUCUUGUAAGUAAAUAUGAAAUCUGGCCUGCCCACUGAAAUUUUAAAGGGCCGCAGUAUUUUGACUGUGCAAAGGUAGCAUAAUCAUUAGUCUUUUAAUUGAAGGCUGGUAUGAAUGGUUGGAUGAGGUGAAUUCUGUUUUAUGUUAAUUUGGUUGAAUUUAGAUUUUAAGUAAAAAGACUUAAAUAUAGUUAAGGGACGAGAAGACCCUAUAGAGUUUAAUAAAUGAAAUAAAUUAAUUAAGUUAAUUAAAAAUUUUUAAUUAUUAUUAAGUUUAUUUGAUUGGGGUGAUUAAAAGAUAAAAUAAACUCUUUUUUGAUUUUAAUAUUAUAAUUAAUUAUAUGAUCCAUAAUUAAUGAUUGAAAGAUUAAAUUACCUUAGGGAUAACAGCAUAAUUUUUUUUGAGAGUUCAUAUCGAAAAAAAAGAUUGUGACCUCGAUGUUGGAUUAAGAUUAGUUUUAGGUGUAGGUGUUUAAUGACUAGGUCUGUUCGACCUUUAAAAUCUUACA